rnacentral:rRNA from 1 species
UACAGAGGUCUCAAGCGUUGUUCGGAAUCACUGGGCGUAAAGCGUGCGUAGGCCGCACGGUAAGUCAGAGGUGAAAUCCCGGAGCUCAACUCCGGAAUGGCCUCCGAUACUGCCGUGCUCGAGGACUGGAGAGGAGUCUGGAAUUCACGGUGGAGCAGUGAAAUGCGUGGAUAUUGUGAGGAACACUAGUGGCGAAGGCGAGACUCUGGACAGUUCCUGACGCUGAGGCACGAAGGCCAGGGGAGCAAACGGG